GGUGAGCUAGCCGAGCGGCUAGGCGCCUCUAUGAUGUGGUGAGUUACAAAACAACGGGGGUUCGAGUCCCUCUCUCGCCA